GGCUCCACCUCAGGCCAGGCUGGAAACAGGUUAUACAUCCAGAACAUUGCAAACCGUAGCUUGUCUCAUCGAGGCUGUCUGCUCCACGUCGCACACAGGACAGGAUUUAUCUCUUAACCCUCACUGUUGCCCCAGGACGUAGGCACUCUUAUCCCUACAGGAUAACUGUAGGAAUGUCACAGGGCACUGCUGCUGGGAAAGGAAGGACACUGUCUGCUGGGCCCCUGGGAAUGAUCUCAGUGACUUUUAGGGGUAAAUCCAUCCUGGAUGGGAUGUUUUCUUCUGCUUUCUCAGAGGCCUGGGAAGCUGAUCAUUGAGGUUUCAGAAGUUCAGGGCAGAAAGGCAAGAUGUGCCCUGCCCCAGUGAGGCCUAAGGUGGGGGCAGGAGGAGGGAACAGAAGAGGGAAUGGGUGUAUUCUGGGUCGUUGCGUUGCUCUGGCAGCAGAGGUGUGGACUGGGGGAGGAAUGGUGAGGCUCCUGGGGAGCCCUGGGGAGCCAGUGUGAUUCAGGAGCUCUGCUCCAGGCAGCCCUAGAGCUGGGGCUCUGGCCUCAUGUCUCACCUAGGGUGUUUUGGGGCAGGGCACUCAGAGAGCCUCUGAGCCUCUGAGGGCUGGGAUGGGCUGUCCACAACUGGGAUCUGGGUAGGUGGCCUCUCGGAAAAGAUAAUCACCUACCAUUCCUGGACGGGCCCCUCCUGGAGCAGUGAGGCCCAUCAGGGGCCUGAGCCAAUCCCUGAACUUGGCCUACUGCUGGGCAGCCUUGGCCAAGUCCUUCAUUGCCCCAUGCCUUUUAGGAAGCAAAGGCUAAGGUGGCCUGCAUUCCUUAUGUUGACUCACCCCAAGUAGGCCAAAAAGGGCUCCAUCGUUUCUCACAGUAGGAGGUGGUCUAAGCAAAGCAGGGGUAAGAUAGAUUUAUUUCCUUCCUUCCUUCCUUCCUUCCUUCCUUCCUUCCUUCCUUCCUUCCCUCCCUCCCUCCUUCCUUCCUUCCUCUCUCCCUUUAUUUUUCUUUCCCCCUCUCCCUCUCUCCUUCUGUCCUCCUUCCCCUCCUCAUUUCCUUUCUCUUUUUUCACCAAAGGAAGCACUGUCCUUUGGUGACGGUGGGACCCUGUGCUUCCAGGAGCAGGGCUAAGAGGUGAGAGCACCCUCCACACCCCAGGAUCCCGGCAGGUGCAGAUGGAAGAAGCUGAGACUGAGCAGUAGCACCAGGCAGGGACCUUGCAGGUCACCCCCCGACCCCGUGCAAGCUGAGUUUUCCUCCAAGGCUUGGAAGAUCUCCGGGCAUGGGAGGAGAAGGGCACCUCAGCCACCUGGCAGGGAUGGCACUGAUAGGCUUCUUGUAGAUGGUAAUGAGCUUGUCCAGGACCACGAUGGCGGUGGUGAAGACGCGGUAGGAGUGCAGGAAGGUGUUGAGGAAGUCGAUGCUCAGGAAGCGCAGGUCCGUCAGCCUCUCCAGCAGCCGCUCCACACUGGCGUAGCGGAUCUGCAGCACUUUGCAGGAGUUCAUGGUUUUGCUGAAGCGAAUGUCAACAUCAUCACAAUACAAGGAGGCGUCGGACCUGAGAGGGGAGGAAGGAUGCAGAGGUGAUGUGGGUCUAAAGGCAUCUGAAUGGCACCCACCAGGCCUGCUCAUCACUGCUUCCCCCACACACUGACAGCCCAGGAUGGUCUUAUUAAGAGAACAAGCUUGGGAAGGAUGACAUUGAAGGAGGGCUACAGCUUCUUUUUCCCAAUAUCCUAAAAACUCUCCGUUAUAAAACCCCUAGAAAUACUGGAGAAAUAUUACAAACUU